rnacentral:rRNA from 1 species
AGUGGCGGACGGGUGAGUAACGCGUAAGAAUCUAACUUCAGGACGGGGACAACAGUGGGAAACGACUGCUAAUACCCGAUGUGCCGCGAGGUGAAACCUAAUUGGCCUGAAGAAGAGCUUGCGUCUGAUUAGCUAGUUGGUGGGGUAAAGGCCUACCAAGGCGACGAUCAGUAGCUGGUCUGAGAGGAUGAGCAGCCACACUGGGACUGAGACACGGCCCAGACUCCUACGGGAGGCAGCAGUGGGGAAUUUUCCGCAGUGGGCGAAAGCCUGACGGAGCAACGCCGCGUGAGGGAGGAAGGUCUUUGGAUUGUAAACCUCUUUUCUCAAGGAAGAAGUUCUGACGGUACUUGAGGAAUCAGCCUCGGCUAACUCCGUGCCAGCAGCCGCGGUAAUACGGGGGAGGCAAGCGUUAUCCGGAAUUAUUGGGCGUAAAGCGUCCGCAGGUGGUCAGCCAAGUCUGCCGUCAAAUCAGGUUGCUUAACGACCUAAAGGCGGUGGAAACUGGCAGACUAGAGAGCAGUAGGGGUAGCAGGAAUUCCCAGUGUAGCGGUGAAAUGCGUAGAGAUUGGGAAGAACAUCGGUGGCGAAAGCGUGCUACUGGGCUGUAUCUGACACUCAGGGACGAAAGCUAGGGGAGCGAAAGGGAUUAGAUACCCCUGUAGUCCUAGCCGUAAACGAUGGAUACUAGGCGUGGCUU